UACGUAGGGGGCAAGCGUUGUCCGGAAUUAUUGGGCGUAAAGCGCGCGCAGGCGGUUUUUUAAGUCUGGAGUUUAAACCUGGGGCUCAACCUCGGGUCGCUCUGGAAACUGGGGAACUGGAGUGCAGGAGAGGAAAGUGGAAUUCCACGUGUAGCGGUGAAAUGCGUAGAGAUGUGGAGGAACACCAGUGGCGAAGGCGACUUUCUGGCCUGUAACUGACGCUGAGGCGCGAAAGCGUGGGGAGCAAACAGG
rnacentral:rRNA from 1 species